rnacentral:lncRNA from 10 species
CUUCACAGUAAACCAAAGGAUGCCAUGAGAGGAGAUGAUGGCCACAGCUCAGUAGCCUCUACAGAUAGCUCUGUUGACUCUUUUGGACAUCACUACAAUAGGGGAAGGGAAGGUACUACAACUUUAUUGCAAGAUGAAAGUAGAAGUCCAAGUUCGUCAUUCAGUUUCUAUUGACACUUGAAGAGGGAGCAACUUUUUACUGCUGGAUGGGCACUCCAUUUUCCCAUGUUGUCUCCACCGACACUGCAGCAGAGGUGGCCUUGUUACUGCUGAUAUUGCGCAAGUUCUGACUUUUUACCAGGAUUCCACUGAUCACUGCCAGAUUCCACUGACGACUGGGAGAGAGAAAGUGAUAUCUCAUCUCUGUUGGAUACAGGUAGAAAUCCAGGCUUCUGUGUUGUCUCUACUGACCUUGUGAGGGUGAGGGUACCUCAUUACCAGCCAACGGGGAUGAAAGUCCUAUCUCCCACUUGGCUUCUGCUAGCAUGGAUGGUGGUAAGACUACAGCUUUUAGUUUUUCUAUGAUACUUGCCUGGAGUACAGUGGCUAUUGUCUAAAAGGUUUCCAUCUUACUAGGCUUCCUAUCUUCUGCUUCUUUGGCUAAAGAAAGUCGGCCUUUGGUGUUUGUUAUUGUUGGUGGUGGUGGUUGGUUGGUUUUCUCUAUGCCAGUUGGCAUUUCUGGGUUGCAUUUUCUUUAACUCCAUGUCUGGAUAUAUGAGGCCAAAAGAAAACACUCGCAAUUCACCACUGUGUUAUUUCUCAGGUCUCAAGGUCCCUAGGCAGUCUGUCUUUUAGAGUCUCUUUAUGUUUGUUUUAUAUAUUAAGUACAGGGAUUUUACUGUACUUAAUGAGAGAAAUAGAGAAAAAUAUGCUUAUCCUAUUUUCCUAGAACUGAAGUGUUCAUAAGAAGUUUUUAAAUAAACUUCAUGAAUAUAAUAAUUGUUACUAUGAAAUGAACAUUCAGCGUUUGUCUUUAGUAAUUACCUCACCUUUAUCUGUUUGCCUUUCUUGUGCUCUUUCCCUAGAUAACAUUGCAUUUUUUUUCCUACCUUCUCCCAUGGCUUUAAUGUUUCCUAAUUUCUAAGAAUCAAGGUGAGGUGUGUAAUAGACUGUUCUUGCAUUGCUAUAAAGAAAUACCUGAGGGUGGGUAAAUUAUAAAGAAAAGAGGUUUAAUUGACUCACAGUUCUGUAGGCUAUACAGGAAGAAUGAUGCUGAAGUCUGCUUGGCUUCUGGGGAAGCCUCAGGAAGCUUAUAAUCAUGGCAAAAGGCAAAGGGGGAGCAAGCACUUCCCAUUGCCGGAACAAGAGGAAGAGAGACAUGGGGCGAGGUGCCACACACUUUUAUACAACCAGAUCUCAUGAGAAGUCUAUCACUAUAAAGUACCAAGAGGGGUACGGUGCUAACCCAUUCAUAAGAGCCCCACCAGUUACCUUCCACUGGGCCCCUCCUCCAACACUGGGGAUUACAAUUUGACAUGAGAUUUGGGCAGGGACACAGAACCCAAACCAUAUCAGGAGGUAAAGGAAGCUCAGCUUGAUAAUUCAUUCUUUUUAUGCUUUUUCCCUAGAAAAUAAAUUACCUUUAUAAUUUUUCAACAUUUGGACUCCAUCCCAUUUAUUUUUAAAAAUUCAAGUAAAAUUGAAUGUAAAAUAUUUUACUAAUCAUCAAAAACUUCGUGAGUUAUCCACUAUGUUACUGGUUUUUCAAACUUUUUAGUACCUUUGCUUCAAGUUUUAAAAUUUUGUUAUAUAGUCACCCAAAGAG